CCUACGGGGGGCAGCAGUGGGGAAUUUUGGACAAUGGGCGAAAGCCUGAUCCAGCCAUUCCGCGUGAGUGAAGAAGGCCUUCGGGUUGUAAAGCUCUUUCGGCAGGAACGAAACGGUGGGCUCUAACAUAGUCUGCUAAUGACGGUACCUGAAGAAGAAGCACCGGCUAACUACGUGCCAGCAGCCGCGGUAAUACGUAGGGUGCGAGCGUUAAUCGGAAUUACUGGGCGUAAAGCGUGCGCAGGUGGUUGUUUAAGACAGAUGUGAAAUCCCCG
rnacentral:rRNA from 1 species